rnacentral:rRNA from 1 species
GAUUCUGGCUCAGGAUGAACGCUAGCGACAGGCUUAACACAUGCAAGUCGAGGGGCAUCACGGGAGUAGCAAUACAACUGGUGGCGACCGGCGCACGGGUGAGUAACGCGUAUGCAACCUACCUAUCAGAGGGGAAUAACCCGGCGAAAGUCGGACUAAUACCGCAUAAAACAGGGGCACCGCAUGGUGAUAUUUGUUAAAGAAAUUCGCUGAUAGAUGGGCAUGCGUUCCAUUAGGUAGUUGGUGAGGUAACGGCUCACCAAGCCGACGAUGGAUAGGGAACUGAGAGGUUGGUCCCCCACACUGGUACUGAGACACGGACCAGACUCCUACGGGAGGCAGCAGUGAGGAAUAUUGGUCAAUGGGCGGGAGCCUGAACCAGCCAAGUCGCGUGAAGGAAGAAGGAUCUAUGGUUCGUAAACUUCUUUGCAGGGGAAUAAAGUGCAGGACGUGUCCUGUUUUGUAUGUACCCUGAGAAUAAGGAUCGGCUAACUCCGUGCCAGCCGCCGC